GCAUAACGCGAAGAACCUUACCAGGCCUUGACAUGCAGAGAACUUUCCAGAGAUGGAUUGGUGCCUUCGGGAACUCUGACACAGGUGCUGCAUGGCUGUCGUCAGCUCGUGUCGUGGGAUGUUGGGUUAAGUCCCGUAACGAGCGCAACCCUUGUCCUUAGUUACCAGCACGUCAUGGUGGGCACUCUAAGGAGACUGCCGGUGACAAACCGGAGGAAGGUGGGGAUGACGUCAAGUCAUCAUGGCCCUUACGGCCUGGGCUACACACGUGCUACAAUGGUCGGUACAGAGGGUUGCCAAGCCGCGAGGUGGAGCUAAUCUCACAAAACCGAUCGUAGUCCGGAUCGCAGUCUGCAACUCGACUGCGUGAAGUCGGAGUCGCUAGUAAUGGCGCAUCAGCAACGGCGCCGUGAAUACGUUCCCGGGUCUUGUACACACCG
rnacentral:rRNA from 1 species